rnacentral:rRNA from 1 species
GGCGUUAAGUUGCAGGGUAUAGACCCGAAACCCGGUGAUCUAGCCAUGGGCAGGUUGAAGGUUGGGUAACACUAACUGGAGGACCGAACCGACUAAUGUUGAAAAAUUAGCGGAUGACCUGUGGCUGGGGGUGAAAGGCCAAUCAAACCGGGAGAUAGCUGGUUCUCCCCGAAAGCUAUUUAGGUAGCGCCUCGUGAAUUCAUCUCCGGGGGUAGAGCA